rnacentral:lncRNA from 1 species
AUGGCAGCCACCACAGGCUUGGGAGUAAAAGUCCCUCUCAAUUUCCGACUGUUGGAAAAACUUGAAGGCCAGAAAGGAGUAGAUGGCACGGUUAGCUAGGAUCUAGAAGAUGAUGAAGAUUUGACAUUUACAAGACGGACAGGAAUGAUAAUUGGACCUCCAAGAACAAUUUAUGAAAACCGAAAGCCAAAUAUACAGCCUUAAAAUAGAAUGUGGACCUAAAUACUCAGAAGCACCGCCCAUUGUGAGAUUUGUAAGAAAAAUUAAUAUGAAUGGAGUUAAUAGCUUUGAUGGCAUGGUGGAUUCAAGAGCCAUGUCAGGGCUAGCAAAAUGGCAGAAUUCAUAUAGCAUCAAAGUUGUCUUGCAAGAGCUUUGGUGCCUAAUGAUGUCUAAAGAAA